UGCAGAAUGAAGAAGACUCUGA
rnacentral:siRNA from 1 species